GGUGUCUCCAAAUUCCAAAAGAAAAAAAAAAAAAAAUAGAAAAUACGGAGGAGGAGGAGCUGGAGGUUUCAGGGGAAAACAGGGGUGUUUUUUUUUUUGGUGAAGACGGCAUGAUAGAGAGUUCAGAGGAACGCUUAUCUUCGAUCAUCUUCUGGAAGCCAUGCCUUCUUUCGUGGUUUUUCCAAGUGGGAAAAUGCUCUUCACCAAGCAUUUGAUGAAAAAGGUGCGGAAUCUGCCACUUGGCCCCCAUUGAAAUCACAGACCAACCCAAUCUCUAAACCAUUCAUCCCGAUGAUUUUGUCAAGGAUCACGAUUUGAGGGAUGGACAGCAACCCCAUGUUUUCCUACAUCCAGAGAAGAAAAAAGGUUGAUGGAGAAGAUGUCAAUUCGGAGAAAGUUGAUGGGUUUUGGAAGAUUAUUCAAGCUGAUAUACCUGUGAAGGAAGAUGGGCGGAUUAUUGGGUACAAAAACAGAGUCGAAUUCUCUGGAAAUCAGAGAAGUGAAACUCAGUGGAGGAUGAAUGAAUACAGACUCAACCAAAAUGACGAAGAAAGCAACAUUACUGAGGUGGAUAUGUGGGUCGUAUGCAGGAUAUACAUGUACAGAUCGAAGGGUGAUGAAGAAGCUUGGGAUGAAGAUUGGUACUUCUCAUCAGAUGAUGAAGAGAUAAAACUCAGUUAAAGGAUUAGGCAGUACUAGUAGAGAUGAAGUCUCUAUGAACUUAUAAAGAAGUGCAUGAGCUCUCCACAUGGACUGGUGUACAUGGCAGCAAAGAAGCACUAUUUUGGGGUAGGUGGGGGAACACGACGAUUCCUAUCUGUGGUGGAGAAAGAUGGUCUUAUGGAUUUUAGCAUGGUUGCUGAAGUUGCUGAUGGUUCCUCUAAUGUACGAGAGGUAUGGAAGCUUUCAUUCAAGUAGGCUUGGAAUCACUUGGAACACUAAUGCCUUCCUGGAAUGAGACCAUUUUUUCCUAAUUCAUUUGUGCUCUGGGCCAAAUUUGCCAGCAUAGCCGUCCAUACGAAGAAUUAAUUUCAACAGAAAUUACUCUAUGCAAAAAGAAGGAAUGUAAUGUAAAAUAUGUACCAAGCUUAGAUAACUUCCUUUUAUUUUUCUUGUUUUGCUUUGCACUUUCUUCUCUGUAAAUUCUUUUGUACCAUAUUUUGGGUUUUUGCAACAAGGCUCAUGCUGCUAACCCUAAAUAGUUGGGAUGAUAUUAAGUUUAUUUUUCUAAAAGUUGUUUAUUUUUUAAGUAGUUGGGGAUCUUAAAUUCUCUUAUCCAUUACAUUUGUUUUGGUUUCUUUCA